AUCAAUAUUGUGUAUUAUACCUUAACGGAAUUCGGUGUUAUUCGUGACACAAAAUAUUAUAUUUUUUACUAUUUAACAGUUUAAAGUGAAAAUGAAAAUGGAUUCAGUAACAUAAUUAUAGCACUCACACUGAGACAGCUGGACGUGAAGAUUGACCUCUACGAGGAUAGCCAGAUGUUCUGACAGCAGCACAUUCAAUUCUGUCACCGCAUUCUAAACACAUGGAAAUGAGUAAGAGAAACGAUAAACUUCACAUGCGAUUUGGAAAGUCUGUUCCUGUCAGAGGUGAACUUGAAAACCCAGUUUCGCCAGAAUUACAACGUCAAAGAUCGCUAGACAAGUCAUCAAGUUGUGCCUGUUUCAGUUUUAAAUGUUGCAGGCGAAGAAGCUACACUCCUUAGAAAAUAUAUUGUAUUACAAAAUACCUCAAGAAUAUCAAUCCAAGUACAAGGAAUUCCGAAUUACAGCAUACUACUGUUAAAGUAAAUCAAGUUUUUUGUCUGAGAGAAUUUAAAAACGUGCUUGUUUAUUUGAUAAACGAUCUAGACAGUAACUAAGUAUUAACAUAUGCCGGCAAAUGUUACAUAUAUUUUGAAAGUAUAUCCUUUAUAUUGGAAUUAAACUCCAUUUAUCGAUCCUUCACCACAUAAUUGGUUUUACCAUAAAGCCUGAAGAAUUGGCUUCCUCUGUCAAAAUAUUUAGAGAAAAAGGUGACGGUCGUACAUUUUGGAUCUGUAUUUUAGCUCUAGAAAAUGUGAUACUAAGUUAUACAUUUACCCUUAUGUGCCCUAAAUGUCCUGACAAUUGGUUGGUCAGAAUUUAGAAAAAAAUGAUACUUAGUGUUACAUUAACCCUAACGUGCUCUAAAUGUCCUAACAGUUGGCUCAUCAUAAUUUUAUAUUUCGCAAUUCUCAGUCAUAGAGAAUUUGCAAAACUGGCGGAAUCCCCUACUUAAAGUACAGAAAAACUGUAAAAACAAAAGUUUAAACCGUAUGACUCUCAUCAUCGAAAUACCAUCUUCCGCCGCGAUUAAUUAAAUCUGCUUUAUUAAGAUAGGUUGUAGAUUUAGAUGGAAUUCUACAAAAAAUAAUGUUGGUACGAUGCUGGUUUGGUCGGUGCGGUGGCUGCUAUGAACUAAAGAAGGGUUAAUUCAAAAAUUCUUUUCUGUUCAACAUUCUAUCUCAAGCUUCCCAUAAAAGUAACUCGUAGUUCUUCUUCGACGGACUGAUGCUAAUAAUUCAUAUUUGUAAGCUUCUUAUGUAUAAAGGCAUAAUACGGGAUUGAUAUACAUCUAACAUGAUAUAAGAAAAUCGUGGAAACAGAAAAUUUGAAAUAUAAUUGUAGAAAUAGAUUUUAACAAGCAAAUUCGAUGAACUGGUAUCACCCGCCGAGUGGGUAAUAAAUACUGAUGGGAAAAUAAAACAAAGCGAGGUUGGGGGGAAGGUACAGCUUUGCAUGUUGAUAAAUAUUCAUGGCAGGUUUAAGAUUUUAAAAAAAAGAGAGAAAAAAAAUAAGGGGUAGGGUAUGGGGUGUGACUAGGACGGUAGGGGUGACCGGGUGUGGGUACACAACUUCACAUGUUGAUGAUAAAUGUUCAUGGGGGGAAAUGAAAGACGUUUAAUGCAACUCUACCAAUUGGUUACUUUAUGUACAAAUAUGUGAACUUUUAAACAAUUCAGGGGCAAUAACUCUGAAAUUAAUAGAAAAAUCCUGACGAAAUUGUUUGUGCACUAUCACAUUAUGGUGAUCUAAAUUUAAUUUAAGUUUCAUAGUUCCAGGUCAAAUAUGUCACAAGUUAUGAAGCAGAUAUUGCCACAUUUAUAAACUACUAAGGGCCAUAACUCUGGUGUUACUUGGACAAUAUGACUGAAACUUGGCGGACCGCAUUUCCCGAUAGUGGUGAAUAUGUACAUGAAGUUUUAUUUAGAUAUUCUAGACCACUUCCUAGAUUUGGCUCCGGACGGACGGACGGGCGGUCGGACGAUAUGGCUCCGGACGGACGGACAGACGUUCGCACAUUUGAAACCUAAAGUGGUCAUUCCAUUGUUUGAAAACAAUAGAAUGACCACUUAAGGAACAAAAGACUUAAGUGGUUACGGAAUGAAUACAAAGGAUUUCUAUUGUCCUAGGCCACACCUCCUACCAACCAAGGUAUCACUCGUGUGCUCGGAAAGACGGACGGACGGACAGACGGAGGGAUGACGUUAAAACUAUGUCCCUCCGCCUUCGGCGGGGGAUAACAAGGUAAUAUUAGUAGGAUAUAUAAAUAUAAAGGUGUUGCUGUUUGUCAAAAAUUCUUCGUUUUUUCCCAUCUAAACCUAUGUUUUAAGUAAUACAGUCUAUACAAAUAUACCUUAGAAGCGUAGAGCGUUGCAAACUAUAACAGACUCGGUUCAACGUUCUUUGUUUACGCACAUUAUUCCUUAUAAGAAACAAUUUUUCCGUACUCGAAGAAAAUAGACAAGGCAAUUCAUUGAUGCAAGCAUCAAAGACGCCGCCAAGUGCUGUGUCUGAAGUACAUUUAUUGCAAUAUGAGAAAUCACCUAAUCAUUACUUUAUUAGUCUGACUGGCUACAAGUUAUCAACAUUAGCACAUAAAACAAUAUAUGUUAUAAACUGUUUAAAACAUGAAGAAUAAACAUGAUAGAAAAGUUUUACCAUGCAAUACAAAUCCUCUACCUGCAAUGACAUUAACAUUGCGAGUAGGUGGUCCCUUUACAUACAAAAUUAAAGUAAUUAUUUCACUAACUAAGGUCAUCUCCUGUGAAAAGUUCUUAUAUGCAGGAGCGUGUGUAUGAAGUUUCACAGAAAUGCAGUUUGUUGGGAAAUGAGGAAAUGUUGAAAUUAUUUCAAAGUUGUGGUUCACAGAAACCAUUAUUUUUAUUAUCAUGUAAUGUAAUGAGUGUUUUCUAUUUACUGAUGAAGUUUUAUGGACCUUAGUCACCUACAUUAUAGAUUUCAGAAUGCAGAUUAUACACAGCAAUUUACUGUUUCCCUUGACAAAAACAAUCAAAAAUUUUGUCCAAGAAAAGAAUGAUAUAACAUAAAUAAUCUCUAUAUAGCCCCUAUUCACAAAGCAUGAAUCUUUCUUAUCUACUUUUGAAUAUCAUAGAAUUCAUUUUUUUUUCGGACGAACGAUAAACUUGAAGUCCUCGUUGAACUGUAAGGUUACUAGGAGUAUGUCAGUGUCUAGUUCAAAUCUAAUAUUACAAGAAAUUUAGAAAGCAUAAUAACCCACUGCCAAAGUGUAGAAAAUAUUUCAAUGAAAAUGUUUUUUUUUUUUUUUAUUUUUUUUUUUGUCAGGAAUGGACAAAUACAAAAACUAUUAGUAUUAAAUUAAAAACAAAAAAGAAAAAAAAGAAGCAUGUAACAAGAUAUAAUAAAACCAGAGCAACUGACUAGUCAUAUAAGAUCAAUGAACAUAUAAAUUCAACAAGGAAUUCUAUUUUAAAGUCACUGAUGCUUUGAUAAGUUAUGGUCCCAUGGCUUUUGAUAUUUCGAUCUAACCACAUUUAAAGAAGUAUUAACUUGUCACUGACAAAUUCAGCCAAGUGCUCUUUAGCCUAUUGCACACCUUAGUUGACAGUGUAUAUCUGUAAACAAUGAGUAGA